AUGGACUCCCGGGGCUUCGAUUCCACGGGCCGCGAGUUUUCCAGCGCCACGGAGAUGUGGGCGCAAGAGAUCGGCGCCACCGCCUCCGCCUCCGCCUCGGCCUCCGAAGUCCCUCCGGGCGCCGCCGCCGCCGCCGCCGCUCCAAGCAAUGGGGACGCCGGCGAGGAAGCGGGCGGGGAAGGGAAGCGCGAGGAGUGGUACUCCAAAGGGAUCGCCUACUGGCAGGGCGUGGAGGCGUCGACCGAGGGCGUCCUGGGAGGCUAUGGGUGCGUCAACGACGCCGACGUCAAGGGCAGCGCCGCCUUCCUCCGCCCCCUCCUCGCGGAGCGAUUCGGCGCCGCGAAGCGCCAUCUCGUCGCGCUUGAUUGUGGCUCGGGCAUCGGGCGGGUUACGAAGAAUUUUCUUAUCAAGCAUUUCAAUGAGGUUGAUCUCGUUGAGCCAGUAGCCCAUUUUCUAGAAGCGGCACGGGAAAAUCUUAGUAGUUGUAUGGAUGUAGGACAUGAUACCCACAAGGCUGCGAACUUUUAUUGUAUACCUCUUCAGGACUUCACUCCCGAGGAAGGAAGAUAUGAUGUGAUAUGGAUCCAGUGGUGCAUAGGGCAACUUACUGAUGAUGAUUUUAUUUCAUUUUUUAACCGUGCAAAGGUUGGGCUCAAACCGGAUGGUUUUUUUGUUCUGAAAGAGAACAUUGCGAAAAAUGGAUUUGUUUUAGACAAGGAGGAUAACAGUGUCACCAGGUCUGAUGCAUAUUUCAGGGAGCUAUUUAACAAGUGUGGGUUGUAUAUCCACAGCAUCAAGAACCAAAAGGAGCUGCCUGAGGAAUUAUUUGCUGUCAGAAUGUACGCUUUGGUGACCAGCCAGCCAAAGGUGACAAAAAAUGGCAAGAGAGGGCGACCUAAAAAUUCACCCCGUAUAAUCCACUCUUGA
rnacentral:rRNA from 1 species